GUUAAAGUGGCAGAGUCCGGACAUUGCAAAAGACCUAAGCCCUUUCCACGGAGGUUCAAGUCCUCCCUUUAACU